rnacentral:rRNA from 1 species
CAAUUGCGAAGGCAGCUUUCUGGAUCAUUACUGACACUGAGGAACGAAAGCAUGGGUAGCGAAGAGGAUUAGAUACCCUCGUAGUCCAUGCCGUAAACGAUGUGUGUUAGACGUUGGAAAUUUAUUUUCAGUGUCGCAGGGAAACCGAUAAACACACCGCCUGGGGAGUACGACCGCAAGGUUAAAACUCAAAUGAAUUGACGGGGACCCGCACAAGUAGUGGAGCAUGUGGUUUAAUUCGAAGAUACGCGCAGAACCUUACCAACACUUGACAUGUUCGUCGCGACUCUAAGAGAUUAGAGUUUUCGGUUCGGCCGGACGAAACACAGGUGCUGCAUGGCUGUCGUCAGCUCGUGUCGUGAGAUGUUGGGUUAAGUCCCGCAACGAGCGCAACCCUCACUUUUAGUUGCCAUCAUUAAGUUGGGCACUCUGAAAGAACUGCCAGUGAUAAGCUGGAGGAAGGUGGGGAUGACGUCAAGUCCUCAUGGUCCUUACGUGUUGGGCUACACACGUGCUACAAUGGCAUCUACAACAGGAAGCAAAACGGCAACGUUAAGCAAAUCCCGAAAAGAUGCCUCAGUUCGGAUUGCACUCUGCAACUCGAGUGCAUGAAGCUGGAAUUACUAGUAAUCGUGGAUCAGCGUGCCACGGUGAAUGCGUUCCCGGGUCUUGUACACACCGCCCGUCACACCAUGGGAGUUGGUUCUACCUUAAGGCAAGGUUUCAAACCCUUGACCACGGUAUAGUCAGCGACUGGGGUGAAGUCGUAACAAGGUAACCGUA